UUAAAAACUGCAUAUCAUGUUUUGAGUUUACAAGAGACCAGAGCAGAUUAUAAAUACACCUCAGAGAUUAUGUCUUCUCUUAAAUCUUGUGGAAUCAUUGCAACUUUAACCUUUUUCUCGCUCACAUUGUGUUCCUUUUCUACUCUUGAAUGAAUGGCUGAUGACUCAGCAUUACUGUAGUUCGAAGCCAAGAUCUGCUUAGUCACAUCAUUUCGGGAACAAUCCUACAUCGAGAUUCUUCCCCAUAACAAGAACCCUCUUAGAGUGGCUUGGCUUAGCUACUGGAGCGAAGUGCAUUACAACUCGCUAUACUCUGUUGGAGAUGUUCCCACAAGAAAACCCAAGAAGAAGCAUUGGCUCUUCUAGGAUUGAAUCCAGAUUCAUGUAUACCAUAUAUGUAUGUAUAGGAUCUUCCUCAGAUUGUGUGUAAACUUUGUUGAUAGCCUCACUCUUUUACAUACUUACAUGCUUUAUCGCUGGUUCUCUCAAUACUUUCAUUGCAAGGGACCGAGUAAUACUAUAUAUUUGUUAUUUGUAA